CCUACGGGUGGCAGCAGUGGGGAAUAUUGCACAAUGAGGGAAACCCUGAUGCAGCGACGCCGCGUGAGUGAAGAAGUAAUUCGUUACGUAAAGCUCUAUCAGUAGGGAAGAAACACUGACCUUACGGUCAGCAGACGGUACCUGAGUAAGAAUCCGCGGCUAACUACGUGCCAGCAGCCGCGGUAAUCCGUAGGGGGUAAGCGUUAUCCGUGUUUACUGGGUGUAAAGGGUGCGUAGACGGUUCGCCAAGUGUGGAGUGAAGUGCCGGAGCUUAAAUGCGGAACUGCUUUGGAUACUAGCGAACUAGAGUGAGGGAGGGGUAAGCGGAAUUCCAAGUGUAGCGGUGAAAUGCGUAGAUAUUAGGAGGAACACCAGUGGCGAAGGCGGCUUACUGGACCUUAACUGACGUUGAGGCUCGAAAGCGUGGGGAGCAAACAGGAUUAGAUACCCUAGUAGUC
rnacentral:rRNA from 1 species